rnacentral:rRNA from 1 species
AUACGAGGGGUGCAAGCGUUAAUCGGAAUUACUGGGCGUAAAGGGCGCGCAGGCGGUUUGGUAAGUCAGAUGUGAAAGCCCACGGCUCAACCGUGGAAGUGCAUUUGAAACUGCCAGACUUGAGUACCAGAGGGGAAAGUGGAAUUCCCGGUGUAGAGGUGAAAUUCGUAGAUAUCGGGAGGAAUACCGGUGGCGAAGGCGACUUUCUGGCUGGAUACUGACGCUGAGGCGCGAAAGCGUGGGGAGCAAACAGGAUUAGAUACCCGAGUAGUCC